rnacentral:rRNA from 1 species
AGUUUGAUCCUGGCUCAGGACGAACGCUGGCGGCGUGCUUAACACAUGCAAGUCGAACGGAAAGGCCCUGCUUUUGUGGGGUGCUCGAGUGGCGAACGGGUGAGUAGCACGUGAGUAACCUGCCCUUGACUUUGGGAUAACUUCAGGAAACUGGGGCUAAUACCGGAUAGGAGCUCCUGCUGCAUGGUGGGGGUUGGAAAGUUUCGGCGGUUGGGGAUGGACUCGCGGCUUAUCAGCUUGUUGGUGGGGUAGUGGCUUACCAAGGCUUUGACGGGUAGCCGGCCUGAGAGGGUGACCGGCCACAUUGGGACUGAGAUACGGCCCAGACUCCUACGGGAGGCAGCAGUGGGGAAUAUUGCACAAUGGGCGGAAGCCUGAUGCAGCAACGCCGCGUGCGGGAUGACGGCCUUCGGGUUGUAAACCGCUUUCGCCUGUGACGAAGCGUGAGUGACGGUAAUGGGUAAAGAAGCACCGGCUAACUACGUGCCAGCAGCCGCGGUGAUACGUAGGGUGCGAGCGUUGUCCGGAUUUAUUGGGCGUAAAGGGCUCGUAGGUGGUUGAUCGCGUCGGAAGUGUAAUCUUGGGGCUUAACCCUGAGCGUGCUUUCGAUACGGGUUGACUUGAGGAAGGUAGGGGAGAAUGGAAUUCCUGGUGGAGCGGUGGAAUGCGCAGAUAUCAGGAGGAACACCAGUGGCGAAGGCGGUUCUCUGGGCCUUUCCUGACGCUGAGGAGCGAAAGCGUGGGGAGCGAACAGGCUUAGAUACCCUGGUAGUCCACGCUGUAAACGGUGGGUACUAGGUGUGGGGUCCAUUCCACGGGUUCCGUGCCGUAGCUAACGCUUUAAGUACCCCGCCUGGGGAGUACGGCCGCAAGGCUAAAACUCAAAGGAAUUGACGGGGCCCCGCACAAGCGGCGGAGCAUGCGGAUUAAUUCGAUGCAACGCGUAGAACCUUACCUGGGUUUGACAUGGAUCGGGAGUGCUCAGAGAUGGGUGUGCCUCUUUUGGGGUCGGUUCACAGGUGGUGCAUGGCUGUCGUCAGCUCGUG